GAUUCCCGCAUCCCGCUUACACUAUGAAAGUAAGCAAUUCUGAUAUUUUUGUAAUUUCCCGUGUCCCGCUAAACUUCCUUUCCCGUUUUCACGGCAAAAUAAUUUGACUUUCAUGUGUCACGCUUAUCCGCCUCGACAAUCCCGCGUCCCGCUCAGACCCCCCUUAUAGGUACAUAAAUAGUUUACUAUGCAGUCAGUAGCCAAAUACACAUGUAUAAUAUACUUUUAGACGAC
rnacentral:lncRNA from 1 species